GUGGCCUGCUGACUGCAUCUGCCAGAUGACUACCAAUGUGUGAGUAAACCCAUUCUCAAGCCCAAGAGAACCUCUCAGCUGAACCAGGCCCAAGUUGCUCACCCACUGAACUGCCAGUUAAAUAAAUGGUGGUUGUUUUAAUCCACUAAAUGCUGGGAUGGUUUGUUAUACAGCAGUAGGUAUCAAUACAGUGUACUUGUCAAUCUAGGAAUUCCUGUCUUGUCAAAUCUGAGAAAAUUCUCGGUCACUGUCACUUCAAAUAUUACUUCUUUCCCAUUUUCUAUUCACUCAUUCCAAAACUCCUAGUGGAUGUCUUUUCUGUCAUUUCUGGUUCUGUCUUUUGUGAUCUUAAACUUUCAUUCAUUGUUUUUCCAUUUUUACUUCCGUGUUACAUUUUGAGUCAUUUCCUUAGUUCCAGUUUGCUUAUUUUCUAUUCAACCAUUAAAUAUUUCUAUUUAGUUUUAAGUUUCAGUGGCUAUAAGUUUCAUUUAUAAAAGAACUAUUUGGUUAUUUUCUAAAUCUGCAUUUUGUUUUCACAUGUUUUUCUGUUUUUUAAUUUGUAUUUUCCUUUGCCCUUGUAAAUCAUUUAAAAUGUACUUAUUUUAUAAUCAUCUGUGGCUUGAUCUGUUUCUUUACUUCUUGGGCAUUACUUUUUCUGUUAAUUUCAUGAUCUGACCCUCAAGGUGGUUUCCUCCUAUGGUUUGUAAUUUUUAUUAUGAGCUUAUUUUCAGCAGGGAUUUCUCCCCUCUGGUGAAGAUCUGUAUGCCUUGGGUAAUGUGAUUGUCACUUCACUAUGCCUGCAAGUUUGCUUCUGAUGGCAUCCUACCGAUAUCACCAACUCUCAACCAGCUCUAAUGUUUCUUGGUAUUUCUGCCCACAGUGAAAAUUCAGAGCUCACUUCAAUGCAUGGCAUGGGCUUGGCUUCAAGUUUUUCUGUAUGACCUUUUUUUAAAUUUAUUUUUAUUUUUUUAAACCUAUAGCCCAAGGACACGGGAGCUUUUUUUCCUGAUUUGUUUUUGCCAACACUGUAGCCCUCAGGAACUCAGAUUUUGCAAAGUGCUCAAUUCCAGUUGCCUUCCUUACUCACACCAGAGACAAUAUUUUAUUGGCCUGCAAGGGUGUUAAAAUCCCAAGGGUGUUAAAAUCCCCAGAUCUCCAGGGCCUAUCAUUGGUCCAAACCCUGCAGAGGCUACAGUGACAUUAGCCCCUACUUACUGCCCAGCCUCUGAGCUCCCUCUUUGUUUCUAGAAUCUGGGGAUUUCCCUUUC
rnacentral:lncRNA from 10 species